GUUUAGAGGAAUGUUGUUUGGCUCGAGGUCAUGGAGAGUAAUUCGUUAACCCAACUCAAAACUCUAAAUGAUUCUCGGACCAGGCUUCAUUCCCCUCAAC
rnacentral:pre_miRNA from 14 species